rnacentral:rRNA from 1 species
AGCAACGCCGGUGAACGAUGAAGGCCUUCGGGUCGUAAAGUUCUGUUGUGAGGGAAGAACAAGGCGUGCGAACUGAGAGGACUUGACGGGCCCCCCCCUAGAAGCCGCGGCUAACUUCUUGGCAGCGAGCGCCGUAAUACCUAAGGGGCGAGCGUUGAUCGGAAUUAUUGGGCGUAAAGCGCACGUCAAGGGGAUUGCUUAGCCCGAUGUGAAAGCCCCAGGCUCAACCGGGGAAGGGCAUUAGAAAAUGGGGGACUUGAAUGCGUGAGAGGAAAGUGGAAUUCCCUGUGGAGCAGUGAAAUGCGUAAAGGUGAGGAUGAACACCGUUGGCGAAGGCGACCCUCUGGACCGUGACUGGCGCUGAGGAUCAAAAACCUUGGUAGUCAACCCGAUUAAAUACCCUUGUAGUCCACGCCGUAAACGAUGAGUGCUAGGUGUUAGGAGGCUUCCAACCCUUAGCGCUGAAGUUAACGCAUUAAACACUCCGCCUGGGGAGUACGGCCGCAAGGCUGAAACUCAAAGGAAUUGACG